GGCAUCACAUUCAACUAAAAUGUCAAGAGGAGCCCUGGAGGCUGUGGGGACCCUUGUGGGAUGUGGGGCUGGUCAGCCAAGUGCUGCAGAAACUACUGGGAGAGCUGAGAAUUGCCUGGGAGGAGCAUCGUGCCCAGCCAGGUCCACACUCGCUCAGUGACACAUGCAGCACAUUGCAUGGGGAUAACAUCGUGUGAUCUAAAAGAGGGGAGAUUGAGAUUGGAUAUAAAGAAGAACUUUAUUAUAAAGGUGGUGACGCACUGGCACAGGUUGCCCAGAGAGGUGGUGGAUGCCCCAUCCCUGGAGACAUCCAAAGUCAAGCUGGAUGGGGCUAUGAGCACCUGAUAUAGCUGUAAGUAUCCCUGUUCAUUGCAGGGGAGUGGGACUAGGUGACCUUUUAAGGGUCCCUUCCAACUCAAGUGAUUCUACAAUUCUAUGAUUCUGGGAUGAUCUCUGGGAGGCAACCAAACUAAAGGAUACAUUAACAACUCUCUACAGCAAACAUUAGGUAAAGCCAAAAUAUUAAAUGCACUUUUGGCCUUGCCUUACUAUUAGCCUUUUAGAGUAGACUAGAUAUUUAGACUAGAUAUUUAGAUAUAGACUAGAUAUUAGAAAUAAAUUCUUUACUGUGAGGGUUGUGAGACGCUGGAGCAGAUUGCCCAGUGAGGCUGUGAAUUCCUCCUGUGCAGAGGCAUUCAAAGCCACGCUGAAUGGGGCUUUGAGCAACCUGGUCUAGUAGGAGGUCUAGUGGGUACAGAGGCUUAUAGCAGGGGAGUUGGAACUAGAUGAUCUUAAAGGUACCUUCCAACCCAAACCGUUUUAUGAUUCCCUUCUUGUGUCCUCAGCUUGGUAAAUUAAUUUUGAUUUGUACCUUGAAGGCCAAUUCAGACACUGAUGAAACUGUGCCUUCUGUCUGCUAGCAACCAAGAGGCAUGGAUGGAACCCCCUAUUCCAGUACUACCUGUGAGUUGUCAUAUCCCAUAUCCCAUGUUGGACCUCAGCUACAGCAGGGCCAGGGCUUUGCUGGAAAUGGCUUCUUCAGGCCUGACUGCAGUAGAGCCAUGGCCAGAAUCUUGCCCCUUUAGCAAAUGAAGGUUCAUUUCCUACACAGUCUAUCUUUUGUCUACUCCUUAAUCCAUCAGUGAAGUUACAAAGUCCAAUUUCCAUGGCAACAGACUGUGAGGUCAGGGAGAAAGUAUUAUGCAGGAUUGAGGAUCUGAAGUGGAUGUAAGGAAGGAAAGGAUAAAAUUACUUUAAAAAUUAACAGUCAUAGCAAAGUGAAUAAUGAGGGGGAAAAAAAAGACAGGUUAGAUAAUCUGCUCCUGGUGGGAAGACUCCUGGCAUUUUUCAAGACAGCUGGUGCCAGCAAAACAGACCUUUGCGGAAUCCCAGUUUGAGUUUUCGCUCCCUUUGAAGUCAACCACAACACCAACGGGGAGAAGAUGUGAGUAUCAAGCACUGCAGAGGAAUUCCCAACAAUCAGGAACAUUUCUCAGCACCUGCUUUGCUGAGCAGGGAUGCAACAUGCAAUGUUGGCCCCAGCCUUCAGUGAAAGAAAACCAUCGCCUCCACAGAUUGCAGCACAUGGAGAUUUCAGACAUUUUUAUUUCCAGAGAAUGUGUCAAUGUUUUUCCCUUAAAUAUCUGCUCACAACAAUUGGGACCACAGCCUGCAGCUGUAUCUAAUUAGCAAUUAGUUGUUCACACCUAGCACAGCCCUAAAGCUGGCAACCACAUGGGUGCUGCCAGGAGUCCUGCACAACAACUAAGGAGAGAGGUAGGAAUAGGCCUUUUUCUUGACAACAUUCCCAUUCAUUUGCCGAAGCCUGAGGCUGGACAAAUUGUCACGCAAUUUCUUAUUUUUCUGCAAGAAAGCUGGUAGUUCUCUCACAUUUUAAUAGGGUCUCCUGCUGUGCCGGGGACACAAAGCAGGAGCAGCUCCAUGUGAUGCCCUCGCCGUGCCAUCACAUCUUUCAUGCUGCAGCAUCUCCAAGGGGCUGCAGCCCCCUGCACACCAUGACACCUACUGCAUUUCCACCUUUGUUACCACCUUCCCCUUCUAGGGGAUGAUCCAGUACCUACAGUUCUCUGGAGAUAUGUAAUUAAGCGUGUCGCCCCUCACCAGAUGAAAGCUGCCAAUUCAUUAUGCUAAGGGCUUGCUGCUUGUACCCCAGGAUGUGUAUUUCCCCCCAGUAAGUCUGCCUUCCUCCUUCCUGCUUGCUCAGCAGAUGCUGCACAUCAGAGACUGAAGCUUGGGGGUCUCUGCUUGCCCCCCAGAGGAGCUUUCUCUGUUGCUCAGGCAAAAAGGGAAGGCAGGUAGUGUCAGUCCUGAAAGCAUGCUGGUGCUGCGAGGCGAGGGGGGAGCAGACACGAGGAAAAACCUCCAGCGCACAUCUAGGAUUUAUAAUUGUGACUCAAAGUAUUGCUUUUUCCACUGCUUGAUCUGAGAGCAUAUUUGAGUUGAUCUGAAUAUCAAAGACAUUCAGAAAGGCGGGGAAAUAAAAAAGCAGGGGAGGAGGCACCAAGAUGGUAGUGCAGAUAGCCCGGGUUAAGGAUGAAUAGAGGGGACGUGCCUGGCCAGGAGGUACAGCUGCUUAGAGAUGGUUAUUUUUUCCUGCUUUAUUUUCUCUAGUAAACAUCUUAUGGUCUAUUCAUAGGCUACACGUACUGUUUUCGAUGACAGUGUUUCCUGAUGGGUGACACUGCAGCUAUAUGACACAGCUUUGCCCUGAAGUACUAUGGAGUAAUAUGUGCUGUAAGGUAGUUCCUCCAAACUGAACAAACUCCAAACAGAACAAAUCCAGAGCUUGACUUGGCUUAUCACACUGAGCCAGAUAAAAGGAUAGACAAAACCUGUGGGAUGAAAUGACACUCUACAAGCCUGAAAAGAGGAAUGUAUGUGCAUGGUGGGACACAGCAGAGCUGCUGUGGUGUUUCUCAUCCCCUUCACAGUGCGUGGCUGUAGGAAGGUGAAUGUGCUCAGGUCCAUAAUACACAGGAGACGGUAUGUUCAUAGCUGCCCUGUAGAAGGAACAUACAGAAGUGCUAAUCGUGCCAUUUGGCCUGACAGACCAGAUCAUCACUUCUUUUAUUGGUAUUUCCCUCUUCCAGCAAAAUACUCCUCCUCUACAAUGCCAGAAGAGCCUGGGAGGUAUUAGGAGAGAGAAUGCCAACUCCACAGCAUGUUCCCCAUCACUCUGGCUCUACAUAAAUCCUUCACUGGGUCACAUACAUGAAUAAAAACCACAGCCUGCUUUUAUUAUCCAAGGUCCAUCAGUAACAGAUGACAGUGUUGUCACCAACAGGAUGGCUGGAUUGCCAAUGGCUUAAAGGGAAAUGCAGCUAUAAAAUCUUAUUCAUAUGUAUUGUAUCUGUGUGUAUAAAUAUCUAUGUGCACCCUGAUGUGUAUGUGCAUACAGAUAUGUAUGCAUAUAUAAACAGAAACCUACAAUUACUAUUUUCACACUCACAGGUUCUUAGAAUGCUCCUACAAUGUCAUUAGCAUCAUUAUUUUAUUAAUUCUAUUUUCCUGCUGUCUUGAAUUUAAACAUAGCACAUACGGUACGAAAUGCACAAUAACCAGUCUUCCUUUAAUUCUGAGCUACGAUUCCUCGCACUUUUCCCCAUAUGUUGUUUUGUGGGUUAGCUCUGGUGUGACUUCCUUCCCUUCCUUAUUGAUACAGAAAUAUUCUUGCUUCUGAUUCCUUCAUUGCUCCUAUUGAUUUCACACAUUUCCUUCACAUGAUCACGGGUACUUACUGUUUUCACGAUUUGCACAUUUUCACCCAUCUAUAAAAUGGCUCUCAUACAAGUCAGUCAAAAUCACAUUCUGAUUAAAAAAAAGACAUUAACAAAGUCUUUUUUUUUUCCUUCUAUCCAGCUUUCAGAUCAGUUUUGCAAUGACUUAACAAAAUCUUGACUUGUUUACCUGUAGUUUCCAGGUUGGAUUAUAGUUGCAUUUGGGGUUCUCUUUUUAGGAUUUACUCCAAGCUUGGCAGCUCCUUAAAAGUUGUGUGCUCUUCUCACAACUUGUCAUCUUCCAUCUUUAUUCUGGCAUUGCAGUUGGCUACCUUUGGAGGCUUAAAAUUAGCACGUUAUUAUUGUUUCUGAAGACCCUUUAGACUUUGACUCCUACCUACUGGAGAAAUUUUGAUUUCUGUUUAUGUACUUGCUCAUAAUUUGGGUUCUGUUUCCAAUCUGUCACUUGCUAAACCAUCUGUGCCAUCUGGAAUGUGCCAGGCCCCAAUUUGGGGGGAUUCUCUUCCUUAUGAAAUUCAUGAGAUUCAGCCUGCAGAUGCUUUCACUGCUUCUCUGACAAAUUUAGUUAAUUUGGCAGCUUUGAGGUUUGCAUUUUUCUCAGUUUCUAGGGCUGUAUUUGUUACUAUGCUAUAGGUGCUGGGGGGUCUAUGGAACACGUAUACACUAGAAACCAUCAAGUAUCAACAGCUUUGACAUAAAAGUUAACACAAAGAUUUGGCUAGUCAAGAUCCUUAUGAGCCAUUUUUUCUCUUGUGUGCCAUAAAAUCAAGGGAACUUGAGAGUGCAGGUAUAACAUAAAUGAAAUUCACAGCUGAACAGAAGGUCAUCAUCAAGUUUAUGUUUCAUAUCAAGCAGCACUGCUGACACAGCAUCCUGGAAGAGCUGGAAUUGCCAAUACUCUGCCUCAAAUAUUCCAGAGAGUUGAAAUCAUAACUUACCUAUCAGCAAAUUAAACCCUGAAAGGUUUUAUAGAUAAAGAACCGUUGCUGCUGAGUAACAAAAAUAUACUGGAGAUCUAGGGAUUUGACUUUGAUGCUUUGCAACCAACUUGGUGAAUCCAGUAGGUUGAUGAAGGCUAAUGAGUCUGGCCAGGCUUUUGGUGGAUUACCUGAAUGACUCCAUGUUAAUCAAAAUAUAUUGCACCAACUAUGGGUAAAAUGGAAGUAAACAGAGCAUUUGCGCUUCUAAAUCUGGCGUUAGAGAGGUUACUCACUUAUCAACAUCUAGGCUGAAAGAUCUUACAGCAAUUCAUUCUUUUUUUUUUCUAUUAUUUGAUGUCUCAACUCUUUUCUGGUCACAUUCAGCUCCUAUAAAUGAAUGCAUUGGUGUACAACGAUAGAAAACUUGUUCCAAAGAGUACAGUGGUAACGUAAGACAAAUAUCUUUCUAUUAGAUUUCACUGAAAGCAAAAGGAAUUUUUCCAUUCAAUUUCCCCCACUCUCCCAGACAGAAAUUAUCGAAUGUGAACAUGUGAAGUUAAGUAUGUGAACAUAUAUUCUAGCACCUUACAGAAGUCAGCCCACUGUCAGAAAGGUAAUCCCAUCCAAGUGGAAGGGAUUUGAAGAAAAUGAAGAAACCCAGGUAAUGAAAAAACUGAAACCAAAAGGCACAUAAAAGGCACAGAAUCACAGAAUCCUUAAGACUUGGAAGGGACCUUUAAGGGUCAUCUAGUCCAGCUCCCCUGCAAUUAACAGAGACAGAGCAAACACAGAAGGGGAAAAUAAACAGGCAUGGAUGGCUGUGUUUUCUUCUCCCGCACAGGGAGUCUUGGAGCUGUACUUUGCAUUAUUAACAGCAAGCUAACUGCCACAGCUUGAAGCUCCCACUGAGGUGGGUGAACCUGACACCAAUCCGUGGAUGUAUGCUGUAUUUAUAUAUCCUUGCCACCCCCUUCAGAUGUCUUAGCUGUUCUGGUGGUUACAGUUGUGUUCAGUAAUACUAAAACACACAAAGAAGCCAUCUGAAGUUAAAAGGUUCUAUCUGAAUUUAUAUUUGUUGAUUUCAUUAAUGUUAAAGUCUCCUUUGGAAGAUGCAAAGUUCUGUGGCUUGAGUUGAUGCCAACGGGAAACAUCCCAGCAGGAAGACUGAUGUGUGCUUCAUCAGGAUGCUGGAAGGAGUCUGUCUGCUGGCCAAAAUCUCUCUCCUACUGUUUAUAAAACACUAUCUCGCUCAGCUAGCCCCCUUUUUACAGUUCAUUACUGCACAGUCUUUUAAAAGAGUUGGCUGCUAUUCAACCUCAUGGAUUCAGAGUUGCAGAAAAGCACCUUUCAGGGCAUCUAAGCGUCCCUCCAACCUCCUGGCUACUCAAAGAACUAGGUAAUAUUUCACUAGGUCUUGUGCUUAGACAUGCCCUAUUCUUUUCUCCCCCGAUAAUCCCAAGUGAAAAGAAAAUCCAUCGAUCCUGUGUACCACAAGUAAUUAGAACUGGGGCUGCAUAUCAUUCCGGUGAGUAGUGUGGGUCAGGAUUUUAAACAUGAAAUGAUUUUCAGUGGAUUCAGCACUCUGUCUCAGCACAAUGCAGCCUAUAAACUGAAAAUGCCUUUAAAAGAUGGAGUUUUUAUUCUUCAUUGUCUUCAAUUAAUGCUACUAUAAUUUAGAAACCAAGCUGAUAUUUUUUGUUUGUUGGAAGCCAGAAUUACAUUGAGAGAUAUCACCAUUGUAUGUGCAAUUACUUUUAAUUCUCCUAACAAUUUUUACGAUUCCUUUCAAAUAAUUUGUCUCUCUUGUGUAUUCAUAUUUUCACUUUUCAUUGCAGGCAUUUAAUUUUUAUUACCACAAGAAAGCAUUCUGAAACCCUUUUAUGAUGAGUUUGUUUAAUUUAUCUAGUCAUUAGCCUGUGAUGAAAGUGAUGCCUCCAACAGAUCAGUCAAAAACCUUCUACUGGCAAUAUAUACAGAUCUGUUGUGAGGGGUUAAUCUUUUAUUAGAUUACAGUUACUCUAAAAGCUGGUAUUCAGUAGUUUAAUAGCUUUUCUUAAUUCUAAUCUUCUGCACUCUAAGAAAUAGAUAGAAGUAGAAGGUCUUUGAGCUUUAAUGCAGUUGCAUGGUUUCCUUUGGUAAUUAUUUACAUUUUUAUAAAUUAAAAAUUCUUUUUUUUUUUUCCCUUUCCAGACAACUUCAUCAACGUUUGAAUAAAACAUUUAGGAGUAAUUGAGAGAUACAAACUGUUUCUUGUCCUUACAAGAUGGAAAUGUAAAUCUCCUUUCAGAGCAUGUACUUCUCUUGGCAAUGAGCAAUGGUUUUGGGCUUGGAGGUCUCUGGUUGGGUCCAAGAUUGGCCAAACCAAAAUCGUUUGCUGGGGUCUGUUAGGAGUGUGCUUAAAGCUUUUGUGGCUUUGGUACAGUUGUUACCAUAGUAAAUGUUUUUGCUUACUGACAUGAUUACAAAUUUUGAUUAACAGUUUCAUGUACAGCAGGAGGAACCUGAAAUGAAACCAGCUUUGUAACUGUGGGAACCACACUAAAGAAAACCGAGGAAAACAGAUGAUAUUUUCACGUAAUUGGAAUAUGCUAAGGAGUAAAGAAAUUGCUGAUUCCUGAGGAAUUUGCCAAUUUUCUUUUCAAGCCUCUUUCUAAUGCACUUACAAACGCAUAAAUUGUUCUAAUGCUCUUUCGGUCAUAAAAAGUGAAUCUGUAGGGGAAGAACUGUUUUUCCUUGUCAAGUUGGGCACCCUGCCUCGUUACAGAAAUGAAGACAGUCUGCUUCCUUCUCACCAUGCCACCGUGAUCAAAGGAGCAGGAUGCGAAAAAUUUCCUCGCUGGAACAUGCUGUUAUUCAAAGCCCUUUGUAGGCACCUCACAGCAAAACACAAGUGUCUGGUGCAAGAUAAAAAAAGGCGUGCAUGUACUUAUUUAUUCAGGAUGGCAUUUUGCAUUCCAAAAAGAAACAUACGUAUGUAUCUGCACAUGUGUGUCUGUGUAUGUGGUCUCUAAAACUCAAUCUGUGGGCCUUCUCCUUCCCCCGGGGCCGAAGCUGAGCCCUGAUGAGGACCUGUGCUGGCUGUGCUGGCUGCUGGCAGGGCUCUGCCAUCCCUCCUCUGUCACCAGGCAACGCUAUCAGCCAUGCUGCACGUGUGCGCUGGACAUUCAUCACCACUUUGUAUUUCCAGUUCUGCAUUUUACUUUAGAAAUGGAAGGUUCUUGAGAGAACAAGGUUUUCGUUGGAUGUCAGUACGCAUACCCAGCCUGCACACUCCAGCCCUGCUCCAGCCUCACUGGAUACGCAUCAGCCAUUUGUUGCAGUGCAAUUAAACUCUGACUCCCCCAGAUGGGUGGGGGGAAGUGUGCAAUGUCACCUGAACUGGGGACUUCACUAUAUGAAUACGCUGCCAUCCAGUAAGCUGCAGUGAGACCCUAGCUGGUUUCGAUGUCAGGAUUUGGAUGUGUGAAGAGGCAGGGUGGUUAUAAGAUAACUCGGUGCAUGACACGGCCAGCACGUGGUGAUCCACCUGCAGGGAUGGACACGUCGGAACAGAUUUGAAAAUGUUCCAGGAGGCACAAGACAUGACUUCAGAAAGGGAGAAUUAUCUGUCAUUACCCUGCCUAUGGCUUCACUUUAUUACACAAUACUUCCAGUCUCCUACAAGAAUCUCCAAGAAAGAAUGUAGGGUAUAUGGCUCUUCUAAUCCUCAUAAAUCUGGAAUUAACCCAAUUACAAAGAAGGGCCAUCAUUAAAAAGGAAUGACUGUGCAACCACCUUUUCAACGUCACUGUCACUACACUGACAAUUUAAUUAAAACUGCAGUGCAUUUAGUUAUAUUAGUUCCUAUCAAUACAAAAGAUACAGAUUUUUUUUUAUUUAAAUCUCACAAUGUACUUCAGCACUGCUACGCAGUGAUUACACCAACAGAUUUUAUCAUUCCUGACGAUACAUGACUAUCUCAAAAUAAAAUCCUCAUCUUCACACGAGAUUUUCGUGCCAGAAUGUAAAUGGAAAUGACUAGGAACAAUCACCUUAACCACAGAAACAUGACUCUGAGUAUAUGAAGAUCGUGUUCUUUAUAUCAUACUCAACACUUCUGUCUUGUACACCUCUGGCUGAUGAAGGGAAAGAAAAGAGAGAAGAAAAAAAGGAAGAAGGAAAGGAAAGAGGAAAAAGAAAACGGAAUGUGAGGGAAUUACAAGGUAAGCAAGUGAGAGAUUAAUUUUAAAUUGAUUGUACUUUUUUUUUUUUUUCUGGUCAGCAGAACUCCACUGUGAUUCUGGUCUCGCACACUCAGGUGUAAAGCUGGAGCAGCUACCUUGAUUCCUGUGGAGGUAGGAGGUACAAAUGCACAUCCAGUGAAAGCUGGUAGAGCUCUCCUUCAAGACUGAAAGUUCUCCUAAGUUUUUCAGUGAUUCCUGACAUCUUCUGUGGCUUUCUUCAAACAUAGGAGAAGUGCAGAAAAAAAUCGUCUCUGAAGUCAAGGAGAUAGAAGCACACUGAAGGGGCAAAGGUUGUCUUUGACCUCCAGCUCUUUUCUGAUGUACUAGUCUCUCUGAAAUGUGAAAUUCAGAUUUGACCUCUGUCUAUUUUCCUGCCAAGCACCUGACUUGCAGUCCUUAUCAGACAGAAGGAAACAGCAGAGUAAGACAUUGAGUAGUUUGCAUGAAAUCAGAUAAUGCUUCAAGUGUCAGCAGGUUGUGUUUGCUGAAGCAAAACCCAGUUCUCCUGAACUGCCAUCAUGGCACCUAGAAAAGAACACAUGCAACUUAAAAGCUGAACGAUGCACAAAAAGCCAGUGUUGGCUGGGAGGAGGAUCUGGGGCAGAAAGCUGACUAGAAGGUUAAGCUGUUAUCUGCCAGCGUAACCAGUGCCUCGUGCUCUAAAUGAUUAUUGCUGUGCAUGUAGAGCAUGGCUGGAGGGUCCUGGCCACUGCCACAAGCUGAUGGAUGCUGCUGCCUCAGACUACUACGAGUUGGACUCGAUGAUCCUUGUGGUCACCUUCCAACUCAGAAUAUUCUGAUUCUAUACUAGUGCUGUCUUUACUGCCAAAGGCAACGUGAAGAUAAGGUGGAUCUGGCACCACCAGAACAAUGGCAUCCAAAAAGCCCACCUGUAGACUCAUGCCUGUAUCUUGCCAGACACCUUAACUGGUGAAGAACAAGAGGUGAAGUUUGCUGAACAGGAAGCAUCAUAGGGAAGGGGAGGGUUAGCUGCAAAGAUAAUCACCUGGGAGAUGAGUUCUGAGUUUUGCUUUAUUUGUACAUGAAAUUCUCAUCAAAAUGAGUUUUUUCUGCUGCUGCUUCUGCUGUAUUUCACACUUUUUUUGCCUUUUUGGGAGCAGUGUGUGUCAUCUCCCAACUGUUCUCCCCAGUCGGCAUGUCAGCUGCUUGCUAGCACACUGCAGGCUACCAAUAAGCAUAACUAGCAGCCAAUGAGACAAGAGCAUCUUUGAAGAUUCAGAUGCAGUGCUCCCCUUGGGAUGACUUGCUAUUCCAGAUUAAAAGCCCUUUAUGAAUCCAGGCAGGGAAACUUCAAGCAGCCAAAAUACUAGAUGAGUAUGUUCACCCCGUGAUGCAAGAAUAUCAAAGUUGCUUAGCUUCUAGAGCCAGAUGAAUAGCACAGGCAGAAUAAUUUGAUUCAUGCACCCUCUCAGUGCAUCAUUCCUUCCUUCAUCACCUGGAUUUUCAUUUAAAUGCUGUCUGAUUUACUCAACUGCACACAUCAUCUGCAAGGUCACCCAUUUGUCUCACAUUUGCAACUGAAUGUCCCUUUCUGACCUUCCUCUCCCCAGUUCUCUCUCUGCUCCCCAGGUAAACAAGUGGAGCCCGAAUCUGGUGGUGUUGGAUGCAAUUUGAUCUCAGCAGGAUAUCUCACUGUGCUCGGUCACACUGACCUGUUGCAGAUUGGUGUUUAUUAUAUUCAUUCACACUUAGGAAAGACAAUUGAAUGUUUAGUGGAAGGACAAUUACCACCCUGGAAAUCACCACUCUGCAUUUCUUAUUAGCACCAGAAGCAAGAUAUCAGGCAUGGUGAAGACAUGCUGCUCUGCCAAAGACUGAGAAACACACUUGGUUGCAGAAAGCUUGUGCAAGGCUGAACCUCUCAAUGCAGAGCUGGCAGCAGGGCUCCUGCUACAAUGGUGCUGGGAUUGGAUCUGUUUCAUGAAAACGGGAUGAUCUUAAUACAAAGUUAUGCUGUGAUGACUGCAGUCGGUGACAGAAAUCCCGAUAAACCUCAAGAUGCUCUGGCUUUGGAAAGAGCAUUGAUGAAACCUUCUGCCUGCAGGAAGAUGGUUGGCUGCCCAGUGUGGACGGAGCGUGCUGAUGAGUAGGAGUUGCAAGAGACUGCAGAGCAGCCAGCGUAAGCCAGCACUAACAGGAGCUCCAUCUGCAAUGGCUUAAUCCUGAAUGCCCAAUCAGAAGUGCUCCUAGUCAGAAUUUGCAGCAGGAUCAGAUGGAUACAAAAAACAUUUUGGAGAAGCCAUGACCAAGCUCUAAGCCAUUAUUUAUGAAAGAAGGCUUUCAGAUGAGAGAGGCAAAAGGAUUUGAAGAACUGUGUCAAGAGGGAUCUUGAAAAUGUCGUCAUUUGGUUGUGCUGACCGAGAUCCUGAACUAAUUACACCUGACAAAGGAGACUCAAAAUCAGAUAGAGCAUGAAAACUGAGAAACAAGCAAAUUAAGACAAACAUGCAUGAGUUAAAUGGAUAAGUUUUUCCCACUUGCAAGCAAUUAUGAUUAUAACACAAGCAGUAUGACUGUUGAAUUAUGCAUCCGGUGUCGGUAAGAGCCACACAUUCAUUCAUUAAGACUCCUGCCAACCUAAUUCCCAAGAAAAAGUUUUUAUCUUCACUUCGACUUGCAUGAGUCUGUAGCAAUUCUUACAACAGCAGUGUUUUUUGGUUUGGAACUCUAAGGGGCUUAAUGUGGCUGCAAAGUUGAAAUGGUGACCUUUUAGCAACACCUAUGUAAAUCAGGAAUGCUGAAAAAGGUGGAGACCAUGCACAACCCAACCUGACUCAAAGCACUAGAAGACUCUGGAAGCAAGUGCCUGCAUCUAUAUUGGCAAACAGUGUGGUG